rnacentral:misc_RNA from 1 species
CGACACUAGGACUUGAGUUAGCAUAAGGCUUUCGAAGCUCGUAGCAAGUCUAACUAUUUCUAGUCUAAACAUAAAGCCCAUAAAUAUAGUUUAAUUUCAAGAAAUCAAACAAACAGAGUUUGACUUUAAAUUGGAUUAUCUAAUGGGGAGUUUUAAUUUAAUCGAUCUAUAUAAACUAGUAAAACAACAAUACGAGGAGAUCAG